rnacentral:lncRNA from 1 species
AUUUUGGAAGGAACUCAAAUAAAAACCUAACAAAACCCUGACCUUGCUUGAUUAACCAUGACUUCACACAAUCAAAACGUCGAUUCAAAACCACCAUCCCCUUAAUUAACUCCUAAACACAAAAAAGGAAUCUGCCUUUUAGAGAUUAACCAAGAACGAUUAACAAUAGACAAAACUGUUACUUACCGAACACAUGCAACCAACGAUGAACAACCGAAUCAAUUGGAAAAAAAAAGAAACAAAACAGGAAAAAAUAAUGGAAAUUU